rnacentral:rRNA from 1 species
UACGGAGACUGCAAGCGUUAUUCGGAUUCACUGGGCGUAAAGGGUGCGCAGGCGGCCAAGUGUGUGAGGCGUGAAAGCCCGGGGCUUAACCCCGGAAUUGCACCUCAAACUACAUGGCUAGAGCAUUGGAGAGGGUAGCGGAAUUCACGGUGUAGCAGUGAAAUGCGUAGAUAUCGUGAGGAACACCAGAGGCGAAGGCGGCUACCUGGACAAUUGCUGACGCUCAGGCACGAAAGCGUGGGGAGCAAAAGGG